UACGAAGGGGGCUAGCGUUGCUCGGAUUGACUGGGCGUAAAGGGCGCGUAGGCGGUUCGUACAGUCAGACGUGAAAUUCCUGGGCUCAACCUGGGGGCUGCGUUUGAUACGUGCGGACUUGAGUGCGGAAGAGGGUCGUGGAAUUCCCAGUGUAGAGGUGAAAUUCGUAGAUAUUGGGAAAAACACCGGUGGCGAAGGCGGCGAACCUGGUCCGAUACUGACGCUGAGGCGCGAAAGCGUGGGGAGCAAACAGGAUAGAUACC
rnacentral:rRNA from 1 species